UAACACAUGCAAGUCGAGGGGCAGCACGUUUUUAGCUUGCUAAGGCCGAUGGCGACCGGCGCACGGGUGAGUAACACGUAUCCAACCUGCCGUCUACUCUUGGACAGCCUUCUGAAAGGAAGAUUAAUACAAGAUGGCAUCAUGAGUCCGCAUGUUCACAUGAUUAAAGGUAUUCCGGUAGACGAUGGGGAUGCGUUCCAUUAGAUAGUAGGCGGGGUAACGGCCCACCUAGUCUUCGAUGGAUAGGGGUUCUGAGAGGAAGGUCCCCCACAUUGGAACUGAGACACGGUCCAAACUCCUACGGGAGGCAGCAGUGAGGAAUAUUGGUCAAUGGGCGAGAGCCUGAACCAGCCAAGUAGCGUGAAGGAUGACUGCCCUAUGGGUUGUAAACUUCUUUUAUAAAGGAAUAAAGUCGGGUAUGGAUACCCGUUUGCAUGUACUUUAUGAAUAAGGAUCGGCUAACUCCGUGCCAGCAGCCGCGGUAAUACGGAGGAUCCGAGCGUUAUCCGGAUUUAUUGGGUUUAAAGGGAGCGUAGAUGGAUGUUUAAGUCAGUUGUGAAAGUUUGCGGCUCAACCGUAAAAUUGCAGUUGAUACUGGAUAUCUUGAGUGCAGUUGAGGCAGGCGGAAUUCGUGGUGUAGCGGUGAAAUGCUUAGAUAUCACGAAGAACUCCGAUUGCGAAGGCAGCCUGCUAAGCUGCAACUGACAUUGAGGCUCGAAAGUGUGGGUAUCAAACAGGAUUAGAUACCCUGGUAGUCCACACGGUAAACGAUGAAUACUCGCUGUUUGCGAUAUACUGCAAGCGGCCAAGCGAAAGCGUUAAGUAUUCCACCUGGGGAGUACGCCGGCAACGGUGAAACUCAAAGGAAUUGACGGGGGCCCGCACAAGCGGAGGAACAUGUGGUUUAAUUCGAUGAUACGCGAGGAACCUUACCCGGGCUUAAAUUGCAGAUGAAUUACGGUGAAAGCCGUAAGCCGCAAGGCAUCUGUGAAGGUGCUGCAUGGUUGUCGUCAGCUCGUGCCGUGAGGUGUCGGCUUAAGUGCCAUAACGAGCGCAACCCUUGUUGUCAGUUACUAACAGGUUCCGCUGAGGACUCUGACAAGACUGCCAUCGUAAGAUGUGAGGAAGGUGGGGAUGACGUCAAAUCAGCACGGCCCUUACGUCCGGGGCUACACACGUGUUACAAUGGGGGGUACAGAGGGCCGCUACCACGCGAGUGGAUGCCAAUCCCCAAAACCUCUCUCAGUUCGGACUGGAGUCUGCAACCCGACUCCUCGAAGCUGGAUUCGCUAGUAAUCGCGCAUCAGCCACGGCGCGGUGAAUACGUUCCCGGGCCUUGUACACACCGCCCGUCAAGCCAUGGGAGCCGGGGGUACCUGAAGUGCGUAACCGCGAGGAGCGCCCUAGGGUAAAACUGGUGACUGGGGCUAAGUCAUAA
rnacentral:rRNA from 1 species